GACCUAGUGUGGCAUAAUGGUUUGAGUGUUGGACUACAACUCUGGAGACCAGGGCUCAAUUCCUUGCUUGGCCA